CCCUUAGAUGUUCUGGGCCGCACACGCGCUACACUGAAGGAGGCAGCGUGUACUCCUGGAUCGAAAGAUUUGGGUAACCCGCGAAUCUCCUUCGUGCUAGGGAUUGAGGUUUGCAAUUAUCCUUCAUGAACGAGGAAUUCCCAGUAAGUGCAAGUCAUAAGCUUGCGCUGACUACGUCCCUGCCCUUUGUACACACCGCCCGUCGCUACUACCGAUUGAAUGGUCCGGUGAAGCGCUCGGACCGCGGCCUCUUGACGGUUCGCUGUCGAUUGGCUGUGGGAAGUUCGUUAAACCUUAUCAUUUAGAGGAAGGAGAAGUCGUAACA
rnacentral:rRNA from 1 species